UGAACGCCUCUAAGUCAGAAUCCAUGCCAGAACGCGGUGAUACCACCCGCACGUAUAGACGGACAGGAAUAGGCUUCGGCUUAGUGUCUUAGCAGGCGAUUCUUCCACGGCGCUCGAAGCGUGUCGUGGUAUUUCGCGUAUUGUAAUUUCAACACGAGCGGGGUCAAAUCCUUUGCAGACGACUUAGCUGUGCGAAACGGUCCUGUAAGCAGUAGAGUAGCCUUGUUGUUACGAUCUGCUGAGGGUAAGCCGUCCUUCGCCUCGAUUUCCCCAAUGGGUUCUCCGGAUUUCUGGAGACUUGUAGGGGUUGUGGGAUCUUUGAUGUGUCGUCUCCGGACGGGCGGUGCAGGGUAGUCGAGUUGGACUUGGUGGAAUUCGAUUCCGUCGAGUCUGGCGCGAGUGUGUGCGGCUGUGUGUUGGACGGUGCAGGGUAGGCGGCUCGGUGUUGGUCGAUUCGAGGAUCGAUUCGAGGGCUGGCUGUCGAGUAAGUGAGAUGGGUGCGGUCUAGGGUAGGCUGGUUUGUCUUGGUCGAAUUCGAUGUCGGCUCCUGUGUGGAACAGAGCGAACGUGGUCCAGGGUAGGUACAGGGUAGGCAGCUUAGACCUGGUCGAUCUAGAUGUCGGUUCUCUGGCUGAUGGAUCUGAGACCGUCGAAACGAGAUGCGGGCGCUGCAGGGUAGGUAACUUCUAUCUUCGGCAGGAAGCGAUUCGUGCUCAAAUGUAUGGUCUAGGUUAGGUACAGGGUAGGCAAGUUCUUUCUCUACCAGAAAUCGAUUGGCAGUAGGAUAUAUAGUCUAGGGUAGGCACAGGGUAGGUAAAUAUCUAUCCGGCCAGUACUGGCCCAUGCGUGCGAAAUGGUUUUGCAGUCUGGUGGCCGUGAGUCGAUUUUUUUGUUUUGCCAUACUAUUGAAUUUUGCGGAUAUUCAAAAGUGGCCCGCGAGUCCGGUCUGGCGUGCGUCCAACUUGAACACCGUCGGUGGACAUAUGAGAGGGAGCAAUCCGGCCGGGCCGGGGCCCAUCGCGUGCCUCAGGGUAGGUAAAAGUAAAAAGGUUGUUAAGAGGCGCGGUGUCGGGGUGCUUGUAUUUGGGAAAGAGAAUUAUGUGGAGGUGGAGGGGAGCCGGGAAGACUUGGACGGAUUCGGUCCGGGAACUGGUCUGGGCCUGGUUUUGGCGUGGUGCAGGGUAGGCAAGUCUGAUCGGACGGUCCAGGGUAGGUACAGGGUAGGCACAGGGUAGGUAGAAGCCUGGUAUAUAGUAUGGGCGGGUGUAGGGUAGGCUAAGACACCGUUUUGUUUUGCGCCCUUACCUUUGCUUGAGAAACGACGAUCUUGGCCGGGAUGAAGGUCUAGGGUAGGCUGAAUAUAUAAUUGUAUAAGCUAGACUACUCUAGGGUAGGUGAAAAUCCCAUCUAAAUCUGGUUGCAAUUGGUGAAGUUGUGAUUUUGCUGUGAAGUUGGAGAAAAGUGUAAUGUGGAAUUGUAUGUGACUUUGCAAAGGUGGGUGUGAAAUUGGAAAGUCGGUCUUCCCGAGCAGAUGUGGGCACGUUCGAGACGCCAUCAGAUGCGCCUUUUCGAGACGGCCACAACGGUGCAGCUUAUGUGUGUGCCAGACUCCUGUGUGACCGUCCAGGGCGGGAUAAGUAGAAAUUGAAGUGGUAUAGGGUAGGUCGUCACACCCACGGUCGACUCACCUCGCCCGUCGAUUCGCCUUGGGUUGAGGGACAGGUCUAGGGUAGGCCAGAGUCAGGUCUAGGGUAGGCAACUUCCAGCCUCGAAGCUGCCUACCCGGUAGCCAACUUCAAUCGCCUCUCACGGCCGCCACGGACCUCGCACGAAGACGGGAUCACCUCCAUCGGAUUUGCCUUGGUUGAAAUAGUCGGUAUAUACACUUUUGAAAAAAUGCGUGCAAAAUGGUUUUGUGGUUUGGUGGGCGUGAGUCGAUUUUUUUGUUUUCCCAUACAAAUGAAUUUUGCGGAAAAUAAAAAGUGGCCCACGAGGCAGUUCUGGCGUGCGGCCCACUAAAACGGUCUCGGAGGGUAUAUGAGAAGGGAGCAAAUCCGGCCGAGCCUGAAAGGGCGAGGGAAAACCGGACGAGCAACCUCUCGUACCUGAUCUUGCAGACUUCCACUGCGUGUCCCUCUGUACAGCUUUGCAGGCUCCGGCCUCGGCAGCGGGGGGUUCAUAGUGGUCGUCGACCUCCACGAAACUGCACGCUCCGGCGUGACAGCGUACUGGGGAUGCCUGUGUUUACGCAGUCCGGGCUUGCCUGGACCGCCAGCAGAUGGGCUCUGUGGAUGACUGGCCGCUGGCUAGACCUGAAACCUGAGCAACGGGGGGUAACCUCUCGCCGCGGACACCGGAAUGGUAGAAGCGGCGUGCUGCGUCCUCCUCUUGGGGCCCCUAAGCCACACCUCCCACAGCGGGUUCGGUGCGGCGGACGGACGCCCUGGGGAAUUUAGAGGGGGAAAGCGGAUUGCCCUAGCGGUGUUGUUGGCCCUGCCGACCUCACUGCGAAAGGCGCGACUUCACCGUCGCCACCCAGUAACUUGUCUCUCCGGCGCUUCACGGCGCUGGUGGCCAACCCCG
rnacentral:misc_RNA from 1 species